GACAGAGGGUGCUAGCGUUGUUCGGAAUUACUGGGCGUAAAGCGCGCGUAGGCGGCUUUGUAAGUUAGAGGUGAAAGCCCGGAGCUCAACUCCGGAAUUGCCUUUAAGACUGCAUCGCUAGAAUCAUGGAGAGGUGAGUGGAAUUCCGAGUGUAGAGGUGAAAUUCGUAGAUAUUCGGAAGAACACCAGUGGCGAAGGCGACUCACUGGACAUGUAUUGACGCUGAGGUGCGAAAGCGUGGGGAGCAAACAGG
rnacentral:rRNA from 1 species